rnacentral:rRNA from 1 species
UAGGGAAUCUUCGGCAAUGGGGGGCAACCCUGACCGAGCGACGCCGCGUGAGUGAAGAAGGUUUUCGGAUCGUAAAGCUCUGUUGUAAGAGAAGAACGUGUGUGAGAGUGGAAAGUUCACACAGUGACGGUAACUUACCAGAAAGGGACGGCUAACUACGUGCCCG